rnacentral:snRNA from 1 species
AUAACUUAUAUUUAUAAGUAAGGAAAAUAACAGAAUAUGGUGACACCCAAAUUCAGAGCUAAUGUGAGACAAUUUUUGAGGUAGUGAAGGUUGUCUUUAAAGUGACUCACCUACUUUGUAGAAUGCCUGGGAAUAGCAAUCCAACCAC